rnacentral:rRNA from 1 species
GAUGAACGCUGGCGGCGUGCUUAACACAUGCAAGUCGAACGGAAAGGCCCAAGCUUGCUUGGGUACUCGAGUGGCGAACGGGUGAGUAACAAGUGGGUGAUCUGCCCUGCACUUCGGGAUAAGCCUGGGAAACUGGGUCUAAUACCGGAUAGGACCACUUCUUGGAUGUUGUGGUGGAAAGUUUUUUCGGUGUGGGAUGAGCUCGCGGCCUAUCAGCUUGUUGGUGGGGUAAUGGCCUACCAAGGCGUCGACGGGUAGCCGGCCUGAGAGGGUGUACGGCCACAUUGGGACUGAGAUACGGCCCAGACUCCUACGGGAGGCAGCAGUGGGGAAUAUUGCACAAUGGGCGCAAGCCUGAUGCAGCGACGCCGCGUGGGGGAUGACGGCCUUCGGGUUGUAAACUCCUUUCGCUAGGGACGAAGCGUUUUGUGACGGUACCUGGAGAAGAAGCACCGGCUAACUACGUG